GACGAACGCUGGCGGCGUGCUUAACACAUGCAAGUCGAACGGAAAGGCCCUGCUUUUGUGGGGUGCUCGAGUGGCGAACGGGUGAGUAACACGUGAGUAACCUGCCCUUGACUUUGGGAUAACUUCAGGAAACUGGGGCUAAUACCGGAUAGGAGCUCCUGCUGCAUGGUGGGGGUUGGAAAGUUUCGGCGGUUGGGGAUGGACUCGCGGCUUAUCAGCUUGUUGGUGGGGUAGUGGCUUACCAAGGCUUUGACGGGUAGCCGGCCUGAGAGGGUGACCGGCAACAUUGGGACUGAGAUACGGCCCAGACUCCAACGGGAGGCAGCAGUGGGGAAUAUUGCACAAUGGGCGGAAGCCUGAUGCAGCAACGCCGCGUGCGGGAUGACGGCCUUCGGGUUGUAAACCGCUUUCGCCUGUGACGAAGCGUGAGUGACGGUAAUGGGUAAAGAAGCACCGGCUAACUACGUG
rnacentral:rRNA from 1 species